AGAACUUGGUCCUUGUAGAAAAGGGGUCUAGCUGAUAAUUAGAUACUAGAAGGUUAAAUUCCUUCCAAGUUUUG
rnacentral:tRNA from 1 species